rnacentral:misc_RNA from 1 species
CGACGUCCUCGCAAGCGCAAGACAAGAGAAGCAGUGCAGACACACACGCACAUACAGAAAUACAUAUAUAUAUAUAAACAUAUAUGCGCAUACGCAAACGACAGCCAAAAAAGAAAAAGAAGGGGUGCUUUUGUAUACGAGGAAAGGGUUCUCGUCUGCCGCACGUGCUCUGAUUCGCCGGUAGCUGGAGUGAGGGUGAGAAGCAGGCGAUCUGUGGAAAGCCUUUUCCUCGCGCUGCUGCUGCCGCUCAUUUCCACCCACCCACCUACCUCUUCGAGAGAGAGAGGCAAGCGCCCUAGGUGUUCGCUAGCAUCGUCCAACGGACAGAUACAUUAUAGAUAUUGCUGCCUUCAAACGGGCGUGGAGGUGGACCACAACACGCAUUCCUCACCUGAGAAGAUGGCCAGCCCUGCCUUUGAAUUCGUGCAGGGCAACGAGCGCCUUGACUGGGGCGUCCUGGUCUCCAUUGAUGUGGAGCGGCUGAUGAAGUCCACCACUGUGGACACGCUGCAGCGCAUCGUCGAGAACAUCGCCUUCUCCCGUGUCACGCGCGAUGAGGCCGCCCUGUUCACGCCGGACCACAUCCUGCACCUCUUCCAACUGUGCCAAGUGGUGAUUCAGUACCUGGUUUACUCACAGGAGAUCCUCGCCGAAAUCAACGUUAAGCUGAACGACCGGAUGGAGGAACAGCAGGCCGCUGCGCUGGAGCAAGAGGCCCUGCUCCAGCGACUCUCCGACGAGAGUAACCUGCUGAAGAAGCAGAUCAAGACGCAGCGUCGCACCCUGCUGGCGUACGAGUACAACGCGCAGGCAGCAUUGGCGCGCGGGCUGGCCGGCAGUGGCGCUGCUGGUGCGGCCGGUGGCCCUGCGACUUUGUACGUCUGCCCGUACUGCGGAGACGAGUACCACAAGGCCGAGUCCAUGCAGUCGCACCUGCGCAAGAGGCACAACACGACAGUGGCGUCGCCGAGCUUGCCAGUCGCAGACACUGCUACCUCUCCCCUGCCGCCUACUGCGGGUUCGCAAACCGUUGUGCCGGCCCCUGCUCGCGGUCCAAUCGCAACCGCGGAGGCUUCUGAGCCGCUCCAGCAGCUUCGCCACCGCGUGGAACAGUUGGAAAAGGACAAGGAAGUGAUGGAGCGGCAGCAGCGUGAGAACCUGAUACUUAUGAUGCUCGGCGCCACGCGGUCGCAGACAACGUCACCGCCACCACAGCAACCGCAGCAACCGCAGCAGCAGCCAGCAUCGGCGCCCGCCAGUACGAGUGUGCAGUCGCCCGUUUCACCGCCGCCACCGCCGCCGUCGUCGCCGCUUCCGGGUUUGACCGCGGCGCCGUCCGCGACAACAACCGAGACGGCAGUGAACGUCAUCCCAGAGCAUCUGAAAGGUAUACCCGUCGUGCCAGACAUCAGUGCAAUGAUGAACUACAACCUCUCCUGCCAGCGCGAGGCCUCGGAGAACGCACUGCGACGCCAAUUGAUGGACCUGGAGGCUGAGAUACGAGCUCUGAGGGCGAGCAAGCUGGCAGCAGCGCCAACAGUGCUCACGGAAGCGCCGCCGCCGCCUUCACCAUCCGCAGCGGCCGCUGCCUGCUCGCCAGCCGCGCCACCGUCCACCCCCGGUCUCGGCGUCACUGCAUCCAAGGACGCUCCCGCCGUUGGGCGGCCUGCGUGGGUGGCGGAACUGGAGAACGCACAGAAACACCAGCGCCAGCAGCAGCAACAACAAUCCAGCGUCUCCGCAGCUCCCCCCUCCCUCGCACCGCCGUUGACGCCGCCCCCAGCACCGCUACCCCCACCACCAGCAGCAGCCACCCCAACACCACUACCACCGCAGCAGCAGCACGUCUAUACGGCAGGAGCCACAGAGCCUUCCCUUGCUCCGCCACCGUCGCACUCGCAGCCGUCUGCAACGCAGCCCCAGUUCACCUCAGCAGCGGCGCCGCCGAUCCAGUCGAUGCCUUCGCUGUGCACGCCGCCAUCCUUGCAGUCCAGCUCCCCGGCACCGCAGCCGAGCUACAACAUUCAACAACAGCAGCAACCCUCACUGGCAGUUCCGUCCCCCACGCCCUCGGUGCCAGACCUCUCCACCCCCGCCAUCCCGAUACCCUCUCCAGCCACGGCGCCCACAACUGAGGGCGGCGCACCUCCAGCUGCAACUUCGACACCGUCCGUAAGUCUCCCGCAGCCGCCACAGGUGCGUCCGAAACCGUACCACUGGGUAGACAGCAGCACAAACUCCAGCCUCACAUCCACCUCCACAGUGCCGCCGCACCGAGCUGUCAGCAAAGGGUGCCCAGGCGCUUCGCCCUCUCUCACUAGCAGUGCCACACCUGCGAUGGCGACGGCGGCAUCAACCUCAGCGACAACGAUUCCGCUGCCAUCGACAGCCUCUGCCGGUGCCCUCGCCCCCUCGAUCUCCUCUCCUGGACUCGGGGUAGGGACAUACUUUUCCUCUCGCACCUCUGCGCCUGCAGGAGCGGCGCCGGCGCCAGCGCCGCUCUCGGUUAUUCCGCCACCCGCCACGCACGACAGCAGCACGCAGCACAGCCCGCCGCCACCGGUCACAGCGCCGGAACUUUCCGUGCCUCAUCCAAUGCCAGCUCCAGCGCUUCGCGUGACAAACACGCCUCUCUUUCACGCGCCGUCCCUGCCGGCGCCGGUCUUGGCAAGUAGCACCGGCGGUGGCAACACCAGCGUCGGUAGCUGGUCCCCACCAGCGCCAGUGCCGAGUACUGCCAACGCGCCGGUGCCAACACCGUCAGCAGUGCCUGGGGCCGUCAAGUCCUUCCGGGCAUUGAGCAGCAGCAGCAGCAGCAGCAGCAGCAUGCGCUUCCGCAUUGACAGACGCUACGACUUUUAGCGCGUACUGGAUGGAGACGGCGAGGGGACAGACCCACACGUGACGAGACGCGGGGUGAGAUUCACUUCCCAAGGGCCGCUGGACAGUGCCAUGAUGCAGGAGGAGAGAAGUGUGUGUGUGUGUAUGUAUUCGUGUUUGCAGAGCCUGCGUGCAUGUGACUGGAGGGGCGGUAGUCCCCGGCAUAAAAUCACUGCCUGCGGAAGCCCGCACACGCACACGCACUAAUGUGGUGUGCAUACGCGAUAGAGAGAGGUGGCGAUGUUGUUGCUUUUCUUUUUCUUUUCCCGACUCCACUGUGUGUGUCUCUCUCUGUGUAACUGUAUUUUGAAUGCCAUGUGCGUGAAGGCGGUGCGAUGCGACGGUGUGUGUGUGCGGUGAAUACAGUUGCGUGUGUGCUUUUUCAGUGCUCGUCUGUGAUAGAGAUCAUAGAAGUCCCCUUCCCUCCUCUACUCCAAAACACACACACGCACUCGCACACCCCUUCGCUAAGCCGGUCCUCUCAGCUGAGCCGCCUGCGCGCGUGUGUGCUGGAGCAGAGUGCGAAGAAAUGAGAAGUUGAGCUUGGCCAAGGAUGCACUCAAACACGCAAGCGUACUCGCAUGAGCACAUAGACACCAGCAGAGAGAAAGAGAGGUGCGAGAAGAGGGAAUCCAGGCGCCAUCUUGGUUUCCUCUUCCUCCUCUCCCACCACUCGUUACGGUGGGGGUGGGGGACGUCUGGGUGCGGUGCGGCGGGUCUGCCCACUGUGUCUUGAAUGUAAACGCCUAUGCCGCACGAAAGGCGUGAAUGUGGAGCAGUGCGCGUGAGUUCAGAAUUGUGCCCUCACAAUGCGCCCAAAACGCAAUGAACGCAGGAGUGGAAGGCACACACACAGCAGGACGCUGCUCUCUGAAGCGGGCUAACAACCCACGUCACGCACCUCUUGCUACAUCACCCUUUAACGCACUUACAGAAAUGCAACCCUUCCCCCCUCCCCAUCUUCCUCCACCCAUGUUGUGUCCGCAUCAUAUCACCGGUGGCUUCUACUUUCCCCUCUCCUUCUCCUGCUCCUGUGUAUGUGCGCGUGUUUGUUUGUGUGGGUGUGGGUGUGUGACGCCACCAUCAUCGACCUCUCUCUCUCGUUAUGCGCCCCUCCUCCCCAG